AUUGAACGCUGGCGGCAGGCCUAACACAUGCAAGUCGAACGAGUGGCGGACGGGUGAGUAAUGUCCGGGAAACUGCCCGAUGGAGGGGGAUAACUACUGGAAACGGUAGCUAUUACCGCAUACCAUCGGAUGUGCCCCGAUGGGAUUAGCUAGUAGGUGGGGUAACGGCUCACCUCGGCGACGAUCCCUAGCUGGUCUGAGAGGAUGACCAGCGACACGGGAACUGAGACACGGAACAGAGGCCUACGGGAGGCAGCAGUGGGGAAUAUUGCACAAUGGGCGAAAGCCUGAUGCAGCCAUGCCGCGUGUAUGAAGAAGGCCUUCGGGUUGUAAAGUACGUGCAGCGAGGAGGCGGUACUCGCAGAAGAAGCACCGGCUAACUACGUGCCAGCAGCCGCGGUAAUUC
rnacentral:rRNA from 1 species